rnacentral:rRNA from 1 species
UACAGAGGUCUCGAGCGUUAGGCGGAAUCACUGGGCUUAAAGCGUGUGUAGGCGGCCUGAUAAGUAGGGGGUGAAAUCCUGCGGCUUAACCGCAGGGCUGCCUUCUAAACUGUCAGGCUAGAGCACAGUAGAGGCAGGUGGAAUUCCCGGUGUAGCGGUGGAAUGCGUAGAGAUCGGGAAGAACAUCAGUGGCGAAGGCGGCCUGCUGGGCUGUUGCUGACGCUGAGGCGCGACAGCGUGGGGAGCAAACAGG